CAGGCCUAACACAUGCAAGUCGAGGGGCAGCGGGAUGUAGCAAUACAUUGCCGGCGACCGGCGCAAGGGUGCGUAACGCGUGAGCAACAUGCCCGUCACAGGAGGAUAAACCAUGGAAACGUGGCCUAAUACUCCAUAGUAUCAUAAGGAGGCAUCUCUUAAUGAUUAAAGCUUUGGUGGUGACGGAUUGGCUCGCGUGACAUUAGCUAGAUGGAGAGGUAACGGCUCACCAUGGCGACGAUGUCUAGGGGAACUGAGAGGUUUAUCCCCCACACUGGUACUGAGACACGGACCAGACUCCUACGGGAGGCAGCAGUGAGGAAUAUUGGACAAUGGAUGGAAAUCUGAUCCAGCCAUGCCGCGUGCAGGAUGACGGCCCUAUGGGUCUUAAACUGCUUUUGUAUGGGAGCAAUAAGUUCUACGUGUAGGAUGAUGAGAGUACCAUACGAAUAAGCAUCGGCUAACUCCGUGCCAGCAGCCGCGGUAAUACGGAGGAUGCAAGCGUUAUCCGGAUUUAUUGGGUUUAAAGGGUGCGUAGGCGGUAUUGUAAGUCAGUGGUGAAAUCUUGGGGCUCAACCUCAAACGUGCCAUUGAUACUGCAGUACUGGAAUGGGGAUGCCGUUUGCGGAAUGUGUGGUGUAGCGGUGAAAUGCAUAGAUAUCACACAGAACACCGAUUGCGAAGGCAGCAGACGAAUCCUUGAUUGACGCUGAGGCACGAAAGUGUGGGGAUCAAACAGGAUUAGAUACCCUGGUAGUCCACACAGUAAACGAUGAUGACUCGCUGUCGGCGAUACAAUGUCGGUGGUCAAGAGAAAUCGAUAAGUCAUCCACCUGGGGAGUACGACCGCAAGGUUGAAACUCAAAGGAAUUGACGGGGGCCCGCACAAGCGGAGGAACAUGUGGUUUAAUUCGAUGAUACGCGAGGA
rnacentral:rRNA from 1 species